rnacentral:rRNA from 1 species
AUGAACGCUGGCGGCGUGUCUAAGGCAUGCAAGUCGAACGGAUCCAGUUGUGAUUACAUCAAUGCUGGAUUAGUGGCAAACGGGAGCGUAACACAUUGGUAACCUGCCCCGAAGACGUGAACAACUCCGCGAAAGCGGAGCUAAUACACGAUACGAUUGCGAUGGCGCAAGCUGUUGCAAGGAAAGCCCAAAAGGCGCUUCGGGAGGGACCUAUGGUCCAUCAGCUAGUUGGCGGGGUAAUAGCCCACCAAGGCUUCGACGGAUAGCAGGCGUGAGAGCGCGACCUGCCUCAGUGGAACUGAGACACUGUCCACACUCCUACGGGAGGCUGCAGUCAAGAAUCUUCCUCAAUGGACGAAAGUCUGAAGGAGCGACGCCGCGUGCAGGAUGACGCCCUUCGGGGUGUAAACUGCUUUUUCCAGGGACGAAUUUCGAUGACGGUACCUGGAGAAUAAGAGGUUGCUAACUCUGU